UACGGGGGGGCAAGCGUUGUUCGGAAUUACUGGGCGUAAAGGGUUUGUAGGUGGCUUGCUAAGUCAGACGUGAAAUCCCUCAGCUUAACUGGGGAACUGCGUCUGAGACUGGCAGGCUUGAGUGCAGGAGAGGAACGCGGAAUUCCAGGUGUAGCGGUGAAAUGCGUAGAUAUCUGGAGGAACACCGGUGGCGAAGGCGGCGUUCUGGACUGCAACUGACACUGAAAAACGAAAGCCAGGGGAGCAAACGGG
rnacentral:rRNA from 1 species